rnacentral:rRNA from 1 species
CCUACGGGAGGCAGCAGUGGGGAAUUUUGGACAAUGGGCGCAAGCCUGAUCCAGCUAUUCCGCGUGUGGGAUGAAGGCCCUCGGGUUGUAAACCACUUUUGUAGAGAAAGAAAAGACACCCUUUAAUAAAGGGUGUCGCUGACGGUACUCUAAGAAUAAGCACCGGUUAACUACGUGGCAGCAGCCUCGGUAAUACGUAGGGGCCGAGCGUGAAUCGAAAUUACUGGGCGGAAAGGGUGCGCAGGCGGGUGAGUAAGAGAGAUGUGAAAUCCCCGAGCUUAACUCGGGAAUGGCAUAUGUGACUGCUCGACUAGAGUGUGUCAGGGGGAGGUGGAAUUCCACGUGUAGCAGUGAAAUGCGUAGAUAUGUGGAAGAACACCGAUGGCGAAGGCAGCCUCCUGGGACAUAACUGACGCUCAGGCACGAAAGCGUGGGGAGCAAACAGGAUUAGAUACCCCAUAGUC